rnacentral:rRNA from 1 species
UACGUAGGGAGCAAGCGUUUUCCGGAAUCAUUGGGCGUAAAGCGCGCGUAGGUGGCCCCAUAAGUCCGCUGUGAAAGUCAAAGGCUCAACCUUUGAAAGCCGGUGGAUACUGUGGGACUAGAGUACGGAAGAGGCGAGUGGAAUUCCUGGUGUAGCGGUGGAAUGCGCAGAUAUCAGGAGGAACACCAAUAGCGAAGGCAGCUCGCUGGGACGUUACUGACACUGAGGCGCGAAAGCGUGGGGAGCGAACAGG